UGCGAGUCGAACGAUAACGGGUCUUAGCUUGCUAAGAUUGUCAGCUAAGUGGCGCACGGGUGAGUAAUAUAUAGUUAACCUGCCCUAGAGAGAGGGAUAACGUUUGGAAACGGACGCUAACACCUCAUAUGCCUUUAAGACAAAAGUCUGCAAGGGAAACAUUUAUGGCUCUAGGAUGGGACUGUACGGUAUCAGUUAGUUGGUGAGGUAAUGGCUCACCAAGACAAUGACACCUAACUGGUUUGAGAGGAUGAUCAGUCACACUGGAACUGAGACACGGUCCAGACUCCUACGGGAGGCAGCAGUGGGGAAUAUUGCACAAUGGACGAAAGUCUGAUGCAGCAACGCCGCGUGGAGGAUGACACAUUUCGGUGCGUAAACUCCUUUUAUAUAGGAAGAUAAUGACGGUACUAUAUGAAUAAGCACCGGCUAACUCCGUGCCAGCAGCCGCGGUAAUACGGAGGGUGCAAGCGUUACUCGGAAUCACUGGGCGUAAAGAGAAUGUAGGCGGGUAAUUAAGUCAGAAGUGAAAUCCAAUAGCUCAACUAUUGAACUGCUUUUGAAACUGAUAACCUAGAAUAUGGGAGAGGUAGAUGGAAUUUCUGGUGUAGGGGUAAAAUCCGUAGAGAUCAGAAUGAAUACCGAUUGCGAAGGCGAUCUACUGGAACAUUAUUGACGCUGAGAUUCGUAAGCGUGGGGAGCAAACAGGAUUAGAUACCCUG
rnacentral:rRNA from 1 species